UGAUGCUCCAACGCUACCUCGUGCAGCUCAUGUGCCAAAUGCUGUCGCUCUUGAGUGAACUGAGACUGAAGCUGCUGCAGAGCACCGUUUGACUGCGAGAGCUGCAGCUCCAGACUUUGCUUCAGAAAAAGGGGCAAAGUCAGGAAGACUAUCUGCUGCCACGUUAUAUUGUAAUCCACUGGACCCCUGAUGCAUCAAUGCCAAGCAAGAAGUAUUUCCUUACUACAGGUUGCUGGAAACCUGGAACUUAUCCCAGGGAACUCAGGGCAUCCUGGAAGAGGUGCCAACUGAUUGAAAGGACAAUUUAGAGAUAACAAUCAGCCUAAAACGCACAACUUUUGAUUGGAGGAGGAAACCGGAGAACCUGGAGGAAAUCCCAAAAGCAUUUUGAGAACAUAA